rnacentral:rRNA from 1 species
UACGAAGGGGGCUAGCGUUGCUCGGAAUCACUGGGCGUAAAGGGUGCGUAGGCGGGUCUUUAAGUCAGGGGUGAAAUCCUGGAGCUCAACUCCAGAACUGCCUUUGAUACUGAGGAGCUUGAGUUCGGGAGAGGUGAGUGGAACUGCGAGUGUAGAGGUGAAAUUCGUAGAUAUUCGCAAGAACACCAGUGGCGAAGGCGGCGCACUGGCCCGGAACUGACGCUGAGACGCGAAAGCGUGGGGAGCAAACAGG